GGGUUGUGAGGUUAAGCGACUAAGCGUACACGGUGGAUGCCCUGGCAGUCAGAGGCGAUGAAGGACGUGCUAAUCUGCGAUAAGCGUCGGUAAGGUGAUAUGAACCGUUAUAACCGGCGAUUUCCGAAUGGGGAAACCCAGUGUGAUUCGUCACACUAUCAUUAACUGAAUCCAUAGGUUAAUGAGGCGAACCGGGGGAACUGAAACAUCUAAGUACCCCGAGGAAA
rnacentral:rRNA from 3 species